GAUGAACGCUGGCGGCGUGCCUAAUACAUGCAAGUCGAGCGAACAGACGAGGAGCUUGCUCCUCUGACGUUAGCGGCGGACGGGUGAGUAACACGUGGAUAACCUACCUAUAAGACUGGGAUAACUUCGGGAAACCGGAGCUAAUACCGGAUAAUAUAUUGAACCGCAUGGUUCAAUAGUGAAAGACGGUUUUGCUGUCACUUAUAGAUGGAUCCGCGCCGCAUUAGCUAGUUGGUAAGGUAACGGCUUACCAAGGCGACGAUGCGUAGCCGACCUGAGAGGGUGAUCGGCCACACUGGAACUGAGACACGGUCCAGACUCCUACGGGAGGCAGCAGUAGGGAAUCUUCCGCAAUGGGCGAAAGCUUGACGGAGCAACGCCGCGUGAGUGAUGAAGGUCUUCGGAUCGUAAAACUCUGUUAUUAGGGAAGAACAAAUGUGUAAGUAACGAUGCACGUCUUGACGGUACCUAAUCAGAAAGCCACGGCUAACUACGUGC
rnacentral:rRNA from 1 species